rnacentral:lncRNA from 1 species
CCGGGGCGAGGGCGGGAGACUUCCUGCUCAGAACCAGUCCGACCAGCUUGGCGCUGGGACGCCUCCCCGCGCUGUGCCGCGGCCCGGGGUGCCGAGGAGCUGGGCUGGGGGCGGGGACCCCUGCCGGGAACCCGACUUAGCCCGGAGACGCUCAAGAGCAAGAAGCCGAGCGGAAAAGUUAGCGCAGGUUGUGGAAAUCAUAUGAGUUCCCUGCUAGUGACAUUGGAGUGCACAGAUGAAUAUCGACAAGGCUCCAGGGAGUUCUGAACAGAGGCCAAGGCAGGCCCUGGAGCUGUAUGCUGCUUACAGGAAAAGAGAAAGAGGGGACCCCAAUAGUCUAGGUCCCUGGAUCCUCUGACCCGGGGCCUGACACUGUCAGGGAAGCUGCUGUCUCCCUAGGGACCUACUGAAUGUUCUUCCCAUGGCUGGUCAGUGCUGACACCUCAACACAGGAAGAGAAAUACUCCUAUGAAGUCAUCUGAAGCCUGGUCAUGCCAGGGACACUUCACGAAGGCAGGAACAGUCCUGUUUCUAAAAGCCCAAAAUCUAACAGCCUCUCUACAGAUAUAAAAGCCCAAAGACAUGGAAAGUUUGUAUGCAGACAACCCUAGAAGUAAGGAAAAGUGAAUGACAUAUAUGUCAAUGCCCAGAAAGUUCCUUGAGAUCAGACACUGUACAUUUAUGGGAUACUUUCUAAGUGCCAGCUACUGUACUUGGUGCUGGAUCAGUGCAUCCAUUUCCCGGGGCUCCCGUGAUGAAGUGCCACAAACUGGAUGGCUUUAAACAACAGAAGUUUACUCUCUCACAGUUCUGAAGGUUAGAAGUCUGCCAUGAAGAUGUGAGCACAGCCAGCCUCUCUCCAAAGGCUCCAGAGGAGAAUCCUUCCUUGCUUCUUCCCAGAGCUCCUUGGCAUACAGCUGCAUUACUCCAAGAUUUGCCUCUCUUGUCACACAGCAUUCUGCCUGUGUCUCUUGUUUGUGUUCAAGUAUCCCUCCACCCUAAUUUAGUAUGACCUCAUUUUAGCUUGAUUAUGCCUGCAAAUACCCUAUUUCCAAAUGAGGUCACAUUCACAGGUACCAGAAGUUAUGAAUUGAACACAUCUUUUUUGGGAUGUGUUCUACCCAUUAUAAUUCAUUCUACCCACUAUAAUCACAAGUGGCUUUGACAUUCAGUGACACAAAGAUGAUAAGGACUCGGUUCCUGACCUCAGGACAUUCUCAGUCUAUCAGUGAAGACAAACACAUGCUGGUGAACACACACACAUACACAAGCACACAUAUACCCCGAGCCUCAUUCAAGUCAGACUGUGAUUAAAAAUGGAAAUUGUGUCAUCAGGAGGGAUUGGGGAAGUCUUCACACAAGAAAGAACAUCUAAGUUGGGCCUUGAAGGGUAAGUGGAAUUCAACUGUCAGAAAGGGUGUAAGGGCAUCCAGCUAUAGGACACAGCAUAAACAAAGACAUUGGGACAUAAACAUGAAAGGUGUGUGUGGAACAGAGAGAAGACUAGUCUGCGUGAAGCAUUGAGCCCCUUCCAAGGCUGAAAAGAAAGGUUGGAGACAGGUAGUAAGGACUUUGUGUGUUGUGCUAAAGAGUCAGUCAGCCUUGGCCGGUUAUGGAGACUCACACGUGUAAUCCCAGCAUUUUAGGAGGCUGAGGCGGGCAGAUCACUUGAGGUCAGGAGUUCAAGACCAGCCUGGGCAACAUGGCAAAACCCCAUCUCUACUAAAAAUACAAAAAAUGAGCUGGGCGUGGUGGCACACAUCUGUAAUCCCAGCUAUUUGGGAGGCUGAGGCAAAAGAAUCACUUGAACCUAGGAGGCAGAGAUUGCAGUGUGCCAAGAUCACACCACUGAACUGCACUGCACUCCAGCCUUGGCAACAGAGCAAGACUCUGUCUCAAAAAAAAAAAAAAGCCUUUAUCCUGUAGAAUUAAGUUGAAUAUAGAAAAUGAGAAGGGUUUGGAGGCAGUGUGGCAAGAGAUCACACUGGAAGGGAGACAGCUUAGGGGGCUAUUUUUUAUAGUCAACAAAAGAAAUGAAGGCCCUGAGCAAGGGCACCAGGAGGAUGGGGAGGAGAAGGUGUUGGCAGGAGUUUUGGAAGGCUGGAUGGCCAGGACUGAGUUGAUUGACUACGGCUUGUGAGGGAGGAGAAAUCUAGGUGACUCCCAUCUCCCUGCUGGAGGGACUGGGUGAAUGAGAUGCCAUUGAUGAGACAGGGAUGUGAGAGCAGGAGAUCUAGGGAGGGGUGACUUUAGACCACCGAGGGUUUCUCAGCCUCAGCAUUAUGGCCAUUUCAGCCUGAUAAUUCCUUGUCGGGGGCUGUCUGUGCAUUGUGAGAUGGUCACCAGCAUCCUUGGCCUCUACUCAUUUGAAUUUAACAUCCCUGAAGACAGCCGGAUGGAGCUGCCCAAUAGAUGGUUGGGUGUUGGAGCGGGGGAGCUCAGGAGACAGCUUUGCAUUGUGUUUUCCAUAGCAUGCAAGGGCCCUUGCUGAGUAGGAAGGAGGAGGGAAUGACUCCUUGUGAGCAGCGAGGUUGGAGUUCAAGUUAUCUGUGCCCAUGCCCUGGCUCCCCAAGCAUCUUGUGGGUGCCUUGAGAAGAAAAAGAAUGUCUUAUUUGCCUCAGUAUCCCCUCAAUACUAUGCCUGGCAGAGUUGGUGCUUAAUAAAGGUUUAGAGAAUUGCACUAACUUGAUUUGGAAAGAACAGGAAAACCCAAAUAGCCUGAGAGCCCCUGCCAAGAGUAACAUUUGGAAGCUGAGUCAGGAAGAAGCUGAGAUCAGGUGAGGUUAAGUAUCCAGGAUCUCUGGUCUCCAGGAUCUGCCAAAACCAGGAUGUGGAGCAUCAGCAACUGUCAUAGUUGUUGAUGGGAGUGUAAGUGGUACAACUAGCAAAGGUGGGGAUGUCAUUCUUGUCGACCCAACAGUUGCACUCCUGGGUAGAGAAGCUCUUGAACAUGAGCAUCAGAAGUGAGACUCAUGAAUAUUCAAAUCAGCACAAUUGGUAGUGGCAGAGAUCUAAAUGUCUAUCAGCAGGAAAGGGAAUGAAUGGUGUUUUCAUCAUUUCAUCAUUUCAUGGCAGUGAAAAUGAAUGAACUACAAUUAUCAAUAGGGAUGAAUUUACAACCUUAACAUUGAAGGGGAAAAAGCAAAAUGCAUGCACUUAAG